GCCGCCCACCCUCGCUCUCUCGAGCUCCCCUCCCGCCGCCCGCGGUGGGUGCUCCGUCGGUUCUCUGGUUAGUCCACGGUCUGGUCUUCAGCUACCCGCCUUCAUCUCCGAGCUUGCGACUCGCCGACCGGCGUCCCCGGCGCGAAGAGGCUGGACUCGGAUUCGUUGCCUGAGCAAUGGCUGCCAUCUGGAAGAAACUGGUGACUGUUGGUGAUGGAGCCUGUGGAAAGACAUGCUUGCUCAUAGGCUUCAGCAAGGACCAGUUCCCAGAGGUGUAUGUGCCCACAGUGUUGGAGGACUAUGUGGCAGAUAUCGAGGUGGAUGGAAAGCAGGUAGAGUGGGCUUUGUGGGACACAGGUGGGCAGGAAGAUUAUGAUCACCUGAGGCCCUUCUCCUACCCAGAUCCCGAUGUUAUACUGAUGUGUUUUUCCAUCGACAGCCCUGAUAGUUUAGAAAACAUCCCAAAAAAGUGGACCCCGGAAGUCAAGUAUUUCUGUCCCAACGUGCCCAUCAUCCUGGUUGGGAGUAAGAAGGAUCUUCGGAAUGAUGAGCACACAAGGCGGGAGCUAGCCAUAGCCAAGAUGAAGCAGGAGCAGGUGAAACCUGAAGAAGGCAGAGAUAUGGCAAACAGGAUUGGCGCUUUUGGGUACAUGGAGUGUUCAGCAAAGACCAAAGAUGGAGUGAGAGAGGUUUUUGAAAUGGCUACGAGAGCUGCUCUGCAAGCUAGACGUGGGAAGAAAAAAUCUAGGUGCCUUGUCUUGUGAAACCUUGCUGCAAGCACAGCCCUUAUACGGUUAAUUUUGAAGUGCUGUUUAUUAAUCUUAGUGUAUGAUUACUGGCCUUUUUCAUUUAUCUAUAAUUUACCUAAGAUUACAAAUCAGAAGUCAUCUUGCUACCAGUAUUUAGAAGCCAACUAUGAUUAUUAAUGAUGUCCAACCCGUCUGGCCCACCAGGGUCCUUUUGACACUGCUCUAACAUCCCUCCUCUGCACUCCCACCUGACACACCAGGCGCUAAUUCAAGGAAUUUCUUAACUUCUUGCUUCUUUCUAGAAAGAGAAACAGUUGGUAACUUUUGUGAAUUAGGCUGUAACUACUUUAUAACUAACAUGUCCUGCCUAUUAUCUGUCAGCUGCAAGGUACUCUGGUGAGUCACCGCUUCAGGGCUUUACUCCUGAACAGAUUUUGUUGGCAUAGCUCUGGGGUGGGCAGUUUUUUGAAAAUGGGCUCAACCAGAAAAGCCCACGUUCAUGCAGUUGUGGCAGAGUUACAGUUCUGUGGUUUCACGUUAGUUACCUUAUAGUUACUGUGUAAUUAGUGCCACUUAAUGUAUGUUACCAAAAAUAAAUAUAUCUACCCCAGACUAGAUAUAGUAUUUUUUGUAUAAUUGGAUUUCCUAAUACUGAUAUUUGUCAUCCCCAAAGAAAGUGUAUUGGUUUUUUAAAAAAGAAAGUGUAUUUGGAAAUAAAGUCAGAUGGAAAAUUCAUUUUUUAAAUUCCCGUUUUGUCACUUUUUCUGAUAAAAUAUGGCCAUAUUACCCCUUUUCGGCCCCAUGUAUCUCAGUACCCCUAUCUGGAGCUGGGCUAGGUAAAUAGGAAUUGGUUUCACGCCUGAGGCAAUUAGACACUUUGGAAGGUGGCAUAACCUGUCUCACCUGGACUUCAGCGUCUGGCUCUAAUUCACAGUGCUCUUUUCUCCUCACUGUAUCCAGGUUCCCUCCCAGAGGAGCCACCAGUUCUCAUGGGUGGCACUCAGUCUCUCUUCUCUCCAGCUGACUAAACUUUUUUUCUGUACCAGUUAAUUUUUCCAACUACUAAUAGAAUACAGGCAGUUUUCUAAAAAAAAAAAAAAAAAAAAAAAAAA